UACGUAGGGUGCGAGCGUUGUCCGGAAUUACUGGGCGUAAAGAGCUCGUAGGUGGUUUGUCGCGUUGUUCGUGAAAACCAGAGGCUUAACCUCUGGCGUGCGGGCGAUACGGGCAGACUGGAGUACUGCAGGGGAGACUGGAAUUCCUGGUGUAGCGGUGGAAUGCGCAGAUAUCAGGAGGAACACCGGUGGCGAAGGCGGGUCUCUGGGCAGUAACUGACGCUGAGGAGCGAAAGCGUGGGGAGCGAACAGGAUUAGAAACCCUGGUAGU
rnacentral:rRNA from 1 species